GAUGAACGCUAGCUACAGGCUUAACACAUGCAAGUCGAGGGGAAACGGCAUUACGUGCUUGCACUUUUUGGACGUCGACCGGCGCACGGGUGAGUAACGCGUAUCCAACCUUCCCAUGACUAAGGGAUAACCUGCCGAAAGGCAGACUAAUACCUUAUGGUCUUCACUGACGGCAUCAGAUGUGAAGUAAAGAUUUAUCGGUUAUGGAUGGGGAUGCGUCUGAUUAGCUUGUUGGCGGGGUAACGGCCCACCAAGGCAACGAUCAGUAGGGGUUCUGAGAGGAAGGUCCCCCACAUUGGAACUGAGACACGGUCCAAACUCCUACGGGAGGCAGCAGUGAGGAAUAUUGGUCAAUGGGCGAGAGCCUGAACCAGCCAAGUAGCGUGCAGGAUGACGGCCCUAUGGGUUGUAAACUGCUUUUGUAUGGGGAUAAAGUCAAUCACGUGUGAUUGUUUGCAGGUACCAUACGAAUAAGGACCGGCUAAUUCCGUG
rnacentral:rRNA from 1 species